AUGACUUUUGUUCCUGAACGGGUUAUUGUUUCUAGUUCUGUUUACCAAGAAGAGUGGACUCUCAUUGCCAGUGCUCUCAAAGCAACGGGACAGCGAGCUGAAUCAGGAGCGUUUUGGCACCGGGGAUGUUACACUGGGAGGACUGCAUGAAGUGCUCUGCCUGUGCAGACUUCCAGAAGACACCCCUCAUGCUCCUGCUGCACCUUCUACCCACCCACAGAAGCUGAUGCACUUAUGGCACUUUGGCAGGGCUCCACUUCUUGCUAGGGACCUGAUCAGUGGAUCACUCUGAAGGCUUACUCUUCUCCCAUGCAUACUUUUACUUGAAGAAAGGUUUUGUAAAUUGAUUGCUUCAUCCAAAGAGCUACUGAGCAUGGUGGCUACUGAGCUCUUUUGUGCAAACAGACCAUUUUCCCUCUUUCACAUAUAAUCUACUAGCAUUCCCAAGAGUGCAUCCAGGCUGGAGUGUCAUCAUCAACCUUAUGCAGUUCUGAAGUCCUCUUUAUAAAAAUCCCUUCUAAAUCCUCCUCUGACAAUGAUGGCCUGCAUCCCAUUGGUGGUUUCUGACCCUACUCUUCAUUUUCAAGAGAAGCACCAACAAGCAGUUAAGAUGUGGUGGCGGAUUAGAACCGCUGGAUCCUAGUCAGGGUUCUAUCUUGAUCUGCAAUCCGAGAAAGCCACUAAACAUCUCUGAGCUUUUGUUUUGACAAAAUAUGAUUAAUCCUUAUUAUUCAUGGAUUGUGUAUUUGUGAGUUUGCCGAUUUGCUAAAAUUUCUUUGUAACUCCAGAAUCAGUAUUCAUAGUUUAGUCAUUCACAGAUGUGUGCAGAGUGGCAAAGAAUUUGAGGUGCCCUCAAGUACACAUUCCCAGCUGAAGUUGAGCUUUGCCUUCUUGUUUCAGCUCUUGGAUUGUAAAUAAGCGGGGGUUUUGUUGUUAUUUUUAAUUUUUUUAAUUAAUUAAUUUAUUUAUUUUUGCAGCUUAUUUAGUCACGUGCUUUUUUACAUUGUUGUACUUUCUGUUGGCGAUUUUCCUGCUUAAAAUAGCCCCCUAAGGGAGGGUGGAGGGUGGCAUAGUGUGCCUAAGCAUAAGAACGCUGUGAUAUGUUUUACACAGCAAAUACAUUGUGUUAGAAAAACUUCAUUUAUUCAGG
rnacentral:lncRNA from 1 species